rnacentral:rRNA from 1 species
UACGAAGGGUGCAAGCGUUACUCGGAAUUACUGGGCGUAAAGCGUGCGUAGGUGGUUCGUUAAGUCUGAUGUGAAAGCCCUGGGCUCAACCUGGGAAUGGCAUUGGAAACUGGCGACCUAGAGUGCGGUAGAGGGCAGUGGAAUUCCCGGUGUAGCAGUGAAAUGCGUAGAGAUCGGGAGGAACAUCUGUGGCGAAGGCGACUGCCUGGACCAGCACUGACACUGAGGCACGAAAGCGUGGGGAGCAAAAGGG